ensembl:lncRNA
AAACAGAGAGAGAUGUACAUAAAUUAAUUGAUUACGCUGCUCUGUCCCGGUUUCCUCCCGCCGGCUAUGUCUAGUCUAUGGGAACGAUGGCCUUGCUUCCUGCUCUCUGAUUGGCUGGAAUCGCGGCGGCCUCUCAUGCGCACGAGCUCAGAUGUCAGGCCACUGGGCUUAUAUUUGAGGCGCUGUUGUGCACGAGCUCAGCUGACAGGUUUACGAGGCGCUGUUGUGCACGAGCGUCAUGGGACACUUCUGUCGUUGUGCACGCGCGCCCUCUUCUGGUCGGAGAUUCUGACCCUCUAAAGUGAUUUUUGCCUCUUUCUGUAAAGCAGCUGGGCCUGCAGAAUGAGAUUGAGAAGAUGAGUUCAAUUCAGAGCCACAGACAGAACCGAUCUGCAGCAAAUGCUGUAACAGGUGGUGUUGAGUGUCAGAGUGACCGCAGCGUUCAGACAGUCCAGUGAAUCCUUCAGGACACAUCUAAG